rnacentral:misc_RNA from 1 species
UAAUCAAGUGUUUUAUGGCACUUUUCAAAUCCAUAUCCACCUUGUGUGCAAUGUCAGUCGAUCUUCUUCAUGGAGAUUGACCAAACAUCAACCUUUAUUUUUAACUCUUUGUCUUAAAAAUAUUAUGAAUAAACAAUUCAAAAUA